AGAGUUUGAUUCUGGCUCAGGAUGAACGCUGGCGGCGUGCUUAACACAUGCAAGUCGAACGAGGUCCAACCUUCGGGUGAAGACCGAGUGGCGAACGGGUGAGUAACACGUGGGGAACCUGCCCUUCUCUCUGGGAUAACCUCGGGAAACCGAAGCUAAUACCGGAUACUCCUUGCGGACCGCAUGGUCUGCUCGGGAAAGCUCCGGCGGAGAAGGAUGGCCCCGCGGCCCAUUAGCUUGUUGGUGGGGUAACGGCCCACCAAGGCGACGAUGGGUAGCCGAGCUGAGAGGCUGAUCGGCCACACUGGGACUGAGACACGGCCCAAACUCCUACGGGAGGCAGCAGUGGGGAAUCUUGCGCAAUGGGCGAAAGCCUGACGCAGCAACGCCGCGUGCGGGAUGAAGGCUCUCGGGUCGUAAACCGCUUUCAGCAGGGAUGAAAAUGACAGUACCUGCAGAAGAAGCCCCGGCUAAAUACGUGCCAGCAGCCGCGGUAAUACGUAUGGGGCAAGCGUUAUCCGGAUUCAUUGGGCGUAAAGCGCGCGUAGGCGGCUUGUUAAGUCAGGCGUGAAAUCCGGGGGCCCAACCCGCGGCUUGCGUCUGAAACUGGCAGGCUUGAGUCUGGUAGAGGAAAGUGGAAUUCCUGGUGUAGCGGUGAAAUGCGCAGAUAUCAGGAGGAACACCAGUGGCGAAGGCGGCUUUCUGGGCCACGACUGACGCUGAGGCGCGAAAGCUAGGGGAGCGAACAGGAUUAGAUACCCUGGUAGUC
rnacentral:rRNA from 1 species